CCUACGGGUGGCAGCAGUGAGGAAUAUUGGUCAAUGGGCGGGAGCCUGAACCAGCCAAGCCGCGUGAGGGAAGAAGGUACAGCGUAUCGUAAACCUCUUUUGUCAGGGAACAAAGGCGGGGACUAGUCCCCGGAUGAGGGUACCUGAAGAAAAAGCAUCGGCAAAGGCCGCUCCAGCAGCGGCGGUAAUACGGAGGAUGCGAUCUUUAUCCGGAUUUAUUGGGUUGAAAGGGUGCGCAGGCGGGCAGUUAAGUCAGCGGUAAAAGCCCGGGGCUCAACCCCGGCGAGCCGUUGAAACUGGCGGGCUAGAGUUGGAGAGAGGUGCGCAGAAUGCGAGGUGUAGCGGUGAAAUGCUUAGAGAUGGCGCAGAACCCCGAUGGCGAAGGCAGCGUACCGGCUACACACUGACGCUGAGGUACGAAAGCGUGGGUAUCGAACAGGAUUAGAUACCCUUGUAGUC
rnacentral:rRNA from 1 species